rnacentral:rRNA from 1 species
CCUACGGGAGGCAGCAGUGAGGAAUAUUGGUCAAUGGCCGGAAGGCUGAACCAGCCAUGCCGCGUGAAGGUCAGUGCCCUAUGGGCGUUAAACUUCUUUUGUGCGGGAGCAAUAAUGGUCACGUGUGGCCAGACGAGAGUACCCUACGAAUAAGCAUCCGCUGACUCCGUUCCAGCAGCCGCGGUAAUACGGUGGAUGCAAGCGUUAUCCGGAUUUAUUGGGUUGAAAGGGUGCGUAGGCUGGGAGGUAAGUCAGCGGGGGAAUGCCCGGGCUCAACGGGGUGAAGUGCCAUUGAUACUGGCGGGCUGGAGUGCGGAUGACGUGGGAGGAAUGUGUGGUGUAGCGGUGAAAUGCAUAGAUAUCAGGCAGAACACCGGUUGCGAAGGCAUCUCACGGAACCGCGAUUGACGCUGAUGCGCGAAAGCGUGGGUAGCAAACAGGAUUAGAUACCCGUGUAGUC